UACGGAGGGGGCUAGCGUUGUUCGGAAUUACUGGGCGUAAAGCGCACGUAGGCGGACGGAGAAGUCAGAGGUGAAAUCCCAGGGCUCAACCUUGGAACUGCCUUUGAAACUUUCUGUCUUGAGGUCGAGAGAGGUGAGUGGAAUUCCGAGUGUAGAGGUGAAAUUCGUAGAUAUUCGGAGGAACACCAGUGGCGAAGGCGGCUCACUGGCUCGAUACUGACGCUGAGGUGCGAAAGCGUGGGGAGCAAAC
rnacentral:rRNA from 1 species